rnacentral:rRNA from 1 species
AUACGGAGGGUCCGAGCGUUAUCCGGAAUCAUUGGGUUUAAAGGGUCCGUAGGCGGGAAUCUAAGUCAGUGGUGAAAUCUUGCAGCUCAACUGUAAAAUUGCCAUUGAUACUGGAUUUCUUGAAUUAGUGUGAAGUGGUUAGAAUGUGUAGUGUAGCGGUGAAAUGCAUAGAUAUUACACAGAAUACCAAUUGCAAAGGCAGAUCACUAACACUAUAUUGACGCUGAGGGACGAAAGCGUGGGGAGCGAACAGGAUUAGAAACCCCAGUAGUCC